rnacentral:rRNA from 1 species
AAUAGAUACCCGGGUAGUCCACGCCGUAAACGUUGGCGCUAGAUGUGGGGACCUUUCCACGGUUUCCGUGUCGUAGCUAACGCAUUAAGCGCCCCGCCUGGGGAGUACGGCCGCAAGGCUAAAACUCAAAGGAAUUGACGGGGCCCGCACAAGCGGCGGAGCAUGCGGAUUAAUUCGAUGCAACGCGAAGAACCUUACCAAGGCUUGACAUACACGAGAACGGGCCAGAAAUGGUCAACUCUUUGGACACUCGUGAACAGGUGGUGCAUGGUUGUCGUCAGCUCGUGUCGUGAGAUGUUGGGUUAAGUCCCGCAACGAGCGCAACCCUCGUCGCAUGUUGCCAGCACGUUAUGGUGGGGACUCAUGUGAGACUGCCGGGGUCAACUCGGAGGAAGGUGGGGAUGACGUCAAAUCAUCAUGCCCCUUAUGUCUUGGGCUUCACGCAUGCUACAAUGGCCGGUACAAAGGGCUGCGAUGUCGUAAGGCGGAGCGAAUCCCAAAAAGCCGGUCUCAGUUCGGAUUGAGGUCUGCAACUCCG